GUUGGCUUAUAUCACCUGUGAGCCUCCACCCUCGAGUUUCCUCAAAAUUAAUUUUGAUGGUAGUAUUUUGGAGGACAGUUGGUGAGGAGCUUUAGUUUUGCUAUCAAGGGAUUGGACUCCAGAUUAGUGGUAGCUAGGGGUUGCUAGAUUUUGGACAUUUCUGUGCCUGGAGCGGAGUUGAUGGCAGCUCGGGCAGGGAUCACCUAUGC
rnacentral:lncRNA from 1 species